CAGGAGAGGUGAGAUACCCAGGCUCCACGAUUCUUAUAUUUUCACCACAUUUAUCUGCGAUUAAGAAAACACAUUUCAUGUUCAGCUAAAAGAAGGUGUGGAGGUGAAAGCUCCAGUUCUCGUUCCAGAGUGGAAGUUAGAUUCGGGAGGACUGGAGAAGAGAGAAGCAAAUAGGUUCCAAUGGAGAAACAGCACAAGGAACACCAGUUGGGUCUGUCCAAUAUACACGACAAAGUGUUAUGUCUGAUUUCUAUGGAAUCCAAGGCUGUGGCUAUGGGAGAAGCAAGAUCCUCUUGGAGUGUUAAUGCUGUGAACCCCUCCAUCAUAGGCUCGGAUUCUGAAGGAAAC